UAUGAUGUGUGCUGAUUACCAGGGGGCGGCGUGGAAUGAAGGAAGGCCUGGCUCUGGGAGCUGUCCCCUUCUGGUGCAAUACAAGACAUUUGCAGCCUCUUUUUUUUUUCUUUAUUGAUUAAGGUAAUAUGAGAAGAUGAUAGAAAAGAGAAGAAAAUGAAAAGCCUUAUACUUAAUGCCUUAUUCAGUAAAAAUGAGACUUGUACUCUGUUGUAUUUAUGGACUACUAUACUUUAGCUUCAGUGCUCCCACUAGAAGAAAGACUUUCCUUAAAGACAAGAACUAUGAGGCCAGCCUCUCCUAACCACAUACAUAGUCUUAAUGAAAAGAACUGCUCCACAUUUUAGGAAUUCAAAGCAUUUCUUGUGUAUGCUAAAAUAAACACAAAACCUCUUGGCAGUA